AUUAUUGUAACUAUAUGCAAAUUUAAAUUCAGUAUUUAGUUAGAUGAGUUUGAAUCUAAUUAUUUUAGUUGGAAUUGCAUAAGGAUGUCCGACUGUAGCAGUUGAAGCUAUAAUUAAAUUGAUCGCAGUUUUAACUGCAGCAAUUAGAUAGAUUAGUUUUAAACAAAAGAUAAACUUUCCUUCCUAAUUAUCUUUUAAAUAAAAAAUAUUUUUCAUUUCUAGAUUGGGGUAAUUUCCCCACCACAAAUAUAAAGUGAUAAUAUUUUUCAAAUUCAUUUCUCAAUUACAUGCAAGUAAACAAAUUAUUUAUAGAUAGAGUAUUUUCUACUAAAUUCAAGCAAACAAAAAAUGCAUAGUUGUAACAACUGCAUUUGUAACUACAUGUUUCUCCAAC
rnacentral:lncRNA from 1 species